rnacentral:misc_RNA from 1 species
CUGAGUUGUCGACACGAGCUGUUGCUGGUCCUCAAACACGGGGGCACGUGCACGCUCUGUUCACACAUCCACUCACACCUGUGCACCCUCUGUAGUUCCAUGGUCUUGGGGGGACGGGCGUCCCCCCCUCCUGUGGUUCUGCGUCUUUACACACACACCGUAGCAAAGUCUUAUGGAAUGUGCGCCGCGUUUAACGCAAUACAAUA